AACGAACGCUGGCGGCAUGCCUAACACAUGCAAGUCGAACGAGACCUUCGGGCCUAGUGGCGCACGGGUGCGUAACGCGUGGGAACCUGCCCUUAGGUUCGGAAUAACUCCCCGAAAGGGGUGCUCAUAAAGGAUAAUGUCUUCGGACCAAAGAUUUAUCGCGUUUGGAUGGGCGCGCGUUGGAUUCGCUGGUUGGUAGGGUAAAAGCCUGCCAAGGCGACGAUCCAUAGCUGGUCUGAGAGGAGGAUCAGCCACACUGGCAAUGCGACACGGCCCAGACUGCUACGGGGGGCAGCAGUGGAGAAUAUUAGACGAUGGACGAUGGCGUGAUACAGCAGCGCGGGGUGAGUGGUGAAUGCCUUAGGGUUGUAAAGCUCUUUGUCCCGAGAUGAGAAUGACAGUACCGGGUGAAUAAGCUCCGGCUAACUCCGUG
rnacentral:rRNA from 1 species